rnacentral:ncRNA from 1 species
CGAUGGCCCUCGCGGGUGUUGACGCAAUGUGAUUUUCUGCCCAGUGCUCUGAAUGUCAACGUGAAGAAAUUCAAGCAAGCGCGGGUAAACGGCGGGAGUAACUAUGACUCUCUUAAGGGGUCAGCCUCCUCAGCCCUUGAUACCCACUUUGUGGAUUCUUUGGGCUGGGGAUCAAGGCCCCCCUUAUAGAGAGUCGUAGUUGGGACACGAUGCGCAACGUAUAGCCUCUCGUGUCCAAGUCACACAGCUACCUCCUCGUGGUACUCCUGGUAACGUCUUCGGACGGCCAAAUGCUGCUGUGGCGAUCCGGGUCAUUGGGGUUGCCAGCCCCUCUGGCUUUAUUAGCUGGCCCAACUAAAAGAAACCCGCCUCGGAUAAUCAUCAGUAACCCCGGGCCCUCUGGCUCCAGGGGUCCAGCUUCAGGGAAUAGUACGCCACCCUCUACAUCGCCUGUUGGUCCGGACGAGGUCCACGCCUGC